CGCGGCCUAUCAGCUUGUUGGUGAGGUAAUGGCUCACCAAGGCUUCGACGGGUAGCUGGUCUGCGAGGACGAUCAGCCACACUGGGACUGAGACACGGCCCAGACUCCUACGGGAGGCAGCAGUGGGGAAUAUUGCACAAUGGGCGAAAGCCUGAUGCAGCGACGCCGCGUGGGGGAUGAAGGCCUUCGGGUUGUAAACCUCUUUCAGCAGGGAAGAAGCGCAAGUAACGGUACCUGCAGAAGAAGCACCGGCCAACUACGCGCCAGCAGCCGCGGUAAUACGUAGGGUGCAAGCGUUGUCCGGAAUUAUUGGGCGUAAAGGGCUCGUAGGCGGUUUGUCGCGUCGAGAGUGAAAUCCUGAAGCUUAACUUUGGGCGUGCUUUCGAUACGGGCAGACUAGAGGUAGGUAGAGGAGAAUGGAAUUCCUGGUGUAGCGGUGGAAUGUGCAGAUAUCAGGAGGAGCACCGGUGGCGAAGGCGGUUCUCUGGGCCUUACCUGACGCUGAGGAGCGAAAGCGUGGGGAGCAAACAGGAUUAGAUAUCCUGGUAGUCCACGCCGUAAACGUUGGGCGCUAGGUGUGGGGAUCUUUCCACGAUUUCCGUGCCGUAGCUAACGCAUUAAGCGCCCCGCCUGGGGAGUACGG
rnacentral:rRNA from 1 species